rnacentral:tmRNA from 1 species
GGGGGCGACCUGGGUUCGACGGAGAUAGUUGAGACCACAGUGGCAGGCCGAGCGACCCAGUGUCUCGUUAAUCCAAGGGAAAACAACGAAAAGCAGACUCAUACGAGUACGCUCUAGCCGCUUAAGGCUAGCGUCUCCGGUCAUGCGUGGCCCGCGGAUCUCUGGAGGCGUACUAUAACGGGCUGGUCGAAUGGGGUGGCGGAUUGACCCAGUCGAUAAGAAUUUCAGUUCGAUAGUCUUGCGGAAGCCCGUUCGUCGGCGUCCUAAAGGCGAAACAACAAAAGGCUUACUAUGCCUGUAGAAGCUUUGGGGGAAGAUCUUCGGACGCGGGUUCAAUUCCCGCCGCCUCCACCA